rnacentral:tRNA from 1 species
GGGGUGUAGCUCAAUUGGUAGAGCGUCUGCAUGGCAUGCAGAAGGUCGUCGGUUCGAUUCCGAUCAUCUCC